UCUAAUAUGUUUCUGAUGAAUGACGGUCAUCCACCUAGGAUGUCCCCUAAAAUGUCAAAGAAUCUGGAAGGUUGUCCAGGGCUACUCCCUUUUCACACAUCCCAUAUCCUACUUAUAACAAAGUAAUAUUUUCCUUCUAGUGCUCAGCUUGCCUUUUUUUUUUUUUUGGUCUUUUUGCCAUUUCUUGGGCCACUCUCGCAGCAUAUGGAGGUUCCCGGGCUAGGGGUCGAAUUGGAGCUGUAGCCACCGGCCUACGCCAGAGCCACAGCAACGCGGGAUCCGAGCCGCGUCUGCGACCUACACCACAGCUCACGGCAACACCGGAUCCCCAACCCACUGAGCAAGGGCAGGGACCGAACCCGCAACCUCAUGGUUCCUAGUCGGAUUCGUUAACCACUGCGCCACGAUGGGAACUCCUCAGCUUGCCUUUUAACCUCUUGUCAGUCCUUAGCACAACGGAGGAAUCUUGGGAGCUCCCGUGUGGCUCAGCAAGUUACGAACCUGACACAGUGUCCAUGAGGAUGUGGGUUCAAUCCCUGGCCCCACUCAGUGAGUUAAGGAUCCAGGGUUGCCACAAGCUGCAUUGUAGGUGGCAGAUGCAUGUGGCUUAGAUCCCGUGUUGCUGCGGCCGUGGUGUAGGCUGGAAGCUGCAACUCUGAUUCUACCCCUAGCACAGGAAUGUCCAUAUGCCGUGGGUGCAGCCCUAAAAAGAAAACAAAACAAAACAAUAGGGGAAUCUCGAAAUGUAUAAUUCUCUCAACUUUGUUCCUCAAGUUUCUCCAUGGAGCCUUUGAUGAGACCUGUCAGAGACUGCCUCCUGGUAUGUCCUGCUUUGUGUGUGAUGGUUGUCUUAGUUAGCACUCGGGGCAGGAGUGAAGAGACCAGAAGAUACUGCCCCUGGUCAUUUGCUAAACCAUACCUAGUCCAUACCUGAAAGAAACUGCAGUUGGCUCCAAUGAGCUCACCUAUUAAAAUCAGACCUGUCUGGUCUGAACACAUCAGCACCCACUGUUUCACUGAUGCCCUACCUCCCUGUGUUCCACACCCUUCCCCAUCUUUGCCUUCUCCCCUGGUCUUCAGGAAUUCCAGGCUGCACACAAUUUACUCCAAGUAUGGGAAACUCUGCACUCAGAUCUAUCUAGUCUUCUAAAGGACCAUGAGCCAAAUACUAUUCAUAAAAUAACCAAAAUAUCAUAGCUAUUUGAGCCUCACUCUCUAGUUCAUCUCAGCAUAUACCUUCCACCAUUCCAUUGCAUCAGUAGUUCUCAACCCCGGCCACACGUUAGAAUCAUCUGUCGAGCUUUUAAAACAUGUCGGUGGCAAGCCCUUUUUCCAAGAUUCUGAUUUAAUUGGUCUGGAGCACGUAUCUUCAUCUGCGGUUCCAUUAGCUUCAUGGAGAAAGACUGAAGUUGCAAGGCAAGCCAUCUGGUGGGAAGAAGUUGGACUGCACCUGAGGAAUUGAGCCGAUUAUUUCUUGGAACCCAGCCAGCUCCAGCCUGAGCCCCAAGCCUAUUUAAUCCCAAACCACUCUAAGCUUUCAUGAAUAUUUUCCCCACUUUAGGGAAGCAUUCCCUCUCCCGCUACAUGCUAUUUGCUAACUUCUCCUUCCUUCUUUGCAGGGGACAGGGGUGGGGAGAUGGCAAAAUGAUGAAUUUCCAGGAAUUCCUCCCUGGUUGUCCAAAUCUCAUGAAGACUUUUCUGAAUCUAAUUCUUUUCAGUGCAGCCAUCACCACUUCAAAGUGCCACUCUACAGUUACAAACCUUCCUGGCCCACUAGGACAUGGGUUCAAGACUCAAAGUUCUCCCAAUCCCAUCCCUUCUGUCUCUCUUGAAAUUGUCAGUGUCCCCCUUCCCACACUCCACAUCCCUCUCCACCUUCCCAGUUUGACAGUAAAAACAGAAAAAUGGAGGGAGACACAUACCCCAAACCUCUUCAUGUGCCUGAGGUUGGCUGGCAGAUCCUGGUUUUAAUCUGUAUUCCAGCACUUGUUUGAUCCUCACCUGCUCACACGACCCCAUCCCACGGUCCCCCUCUCCAUUUCUCCAGAGAGAAAUCGUAAGAGUUCUCUAUUCUUAUCGCAUGUUUGCCCUCUCUCUGUAAGAGGGCCAGGAACUUCCCAUACCUUUCUCAGUAUUUGCCACCCGGAGCAGACAGAGGCUGUCUUUUACUCCCCGCAAUCCAAUCCUCUUCCCCCGGAAACUUUUUAUGCUUACAUACAAAUCCUGAACUUCCAUUCCCUAACGUCAUUUACCAUAAACUCUCUUCCUUGUCCCAACAAGUCAACCCGGGGACCCAGUAGUGUGAGAGGAGCUAGAUCCAGUAAUAACCUCAAUUUGGCUCAACUCUUCCCAACUCUGUGUUCAAUGGCGUCACUUCGUUAGCUUGAAAUCAACCAUGGUAGGAGACAUUACAUCACAGAAACUGGACAUUUCUACAAACCAGAGCUUUUCUUCCCCUGCAGAGUCAGUUCCUUAGAUGUUUACCAACAACCAAUGGAGCUUGGCCCUGAGAAGAUAAAUGGCGAUGGUUUGGGAAUCAAAGGCCUAAGAUGGCAUAAUCCAACCAUAACGAGGUUCACCUUCUUCCAGCAAUUCAAAGGCCCAUCUUCAUCACCCUGAGUUUGGCUGGCAGACCCCUGCCCUACCUGGUUCCACCAGAACCUGUUUGAUGUUCAUCUGCUUGCUUGAUCCCAAUCCAGAGUUCCCUGCUUUACUGCCCAAAUUCAGUGUUUUGAUCCUCAUAGUUAUGGAGUAGCAGCAUCGCUGAGACAACUUCUUCCAAGAAUGCCACACAAAUCCCAAGUUUUGAAUCCCUGAUGUCAUCUACCCUAGAUGGCAACGUUUUGUAUGAGAACCUUUCUGCUGAAGGAGUGAAUGUCCUAGGCAGAUAAUACACAAUGAAACUAUCAUUCAAAAAUUAAGUUAAAUAUGAAUAUUUACAGACUGGCGAAGAAACAACAGGCAAAUAAAAUGGUCAACAUGAAAGUAACUCCAAAUAAACAUUGUCUAUGUAAACUAAUAACAGCAGCAUGCAAAUCAGAGAAUGUGGUGAACUAAACUACCCUAAAGCCCUUGUAUUGAUGAGGAUGGGGGUGAAAUAUUAUUUAAUCUUGACUUUGUUCAGAUCCAUUUCUCAAAAGAGAAAUUUCGCCAAAGUGACCGUAAAGAAGAUGAAAAUAUAAGCUACAAACUUGGAGGAGAUAUUCAUAAUGCACACAACCAAAAAAGGAUUCCUAACUGAGACUAUAAGGAAUGCUUACAAAUUAAAAAGAAAACACAUGUAAAACUGGGCAAAGGCCAUGAACAGUUGUUUGGCAGAAGAAAUGCAAAUGUUUGAUAAGCCUAUGAAAAGAUGCUAAACUUCAUUAGUAUUCAGGAAAAUGCAAAUUAAGAUCACAAUGAAGCAAUAUUUUAUGCCCAUGGCAAAUUUUAAAAUAUUUGAUAAUACCAAAUGUUGAAGAGGAUGUGGCGCAAUAGGACUUCUUAUACAUUUCUGGUGUGAUUGCUGAUGGGUAUAACCUCCUUGAGAAAAAAAUUGCCAUUAUUUUGCAUUUGCAUACUCUAUAAUCCAACAGUUCCAACCCUUUUUCCUAUCCUCUUGCAUAUGUGUACCAGGAGUCAAAAAUAGAAAUGUUCAUAACAGGAACUAUUUGGUGGCAACCGAAAUGUUCACCAAAAGAAAAAUAGAUAAUAGAUUGUGGAAUAUCGUGCAACUGUGAAAAUGAAUGAAAUAGUUACAUCAAACAAUACAGAUGAAUUUUAGUAACAUUAUGUUCAGGAUAAAAGAAAGUCCAAGAAAAAUACUAUGUAUAUUAGGAUGUCAUUUAUACACUUAAAAAAUUCUUUAGGCAUGUAUAAAUAUGUAAUAAAGCUAUUCUUUAAAGCAAGAGUGUGGAAAACAUAGAAUUCAGGAUGCUGGUUAUCUCUGGGUCUAAGGAGACAGUGGGAUGGUAUAGAUAGAUAUUAAUUAUUAAUAGUGUUCAAAUUUUCACUUGAAUGGUGAGUUAAUGAGUAUUUAUUAUACCACUGUGAAUUUUAAUACAUACGUAUGUGUGUUACAUACAUAGUUUUAUGUAUCAAAUAGUAUAUUUAAGAGAUAAAGGGAAAUUAAGUGUGAGGAAUAACAUAAUCCAUAUCUCAAUAUGGACAUACUUGGUUAUGAUUUCAUAAAGGAAAUACUGAAUUCAGUUUUUUACAACUUCAUGUCGAAGCAAUAAUGACCACAAAUGUAGACUGAUAAAGAUUUGCGGUAUUGUCAACUCAAAUAUCAUGGCUGAUCAUGAUUGUGGUUUUCCAAAAUGGUAACCAAUUUUUGGUUACGUUCCAAAGAAAAAACAAAGCACAAUUUUCUCUCAAUUUGUGUAAUAGCUACAGUCUUAAAAAAUUCAAUGUGUAUUGAAAGCCUUUAAAACCGCCUUUGUGUUUGUAUUCAACGUAGUGUUAGAUUCUGGACUCAAUAAUUAUAAUCAGGUUUUGCACUCACUUGACAGCAGAAUACCCGAAAGUCUUAGGGGGCAAUUCUUUUUGUGUGGGAAUAUACUGAGCAUUACUAAAGUUAAGUAUCCUUAGCCCUCAUCCACUUAAGGUGACUAGUGUCCUACAAUCAUUGUGACAACCCAAAAUGCCCUACAGAUCUCUCAAUUGCCCCGUAGGAGGAGCAGUAUCCCCAGAACUAUUGCCCUGGUAGAAGGAGGUAGGAUGGGAAACCAUCAGCUGUCCUGUGACCUGGGCUCUCACUUGAAGAGGCCAAUCAGCUCAUCAGAGAAGCUUUCCCACCUGGCCAUGGAGCAGUAAUGUGAAGUGAGAGAGGGUGUUUAGUUCGAAAGAUAAAAUGAGCAGGGAGGCGCUGGAGCAGAAGGUGGCCAAGAACGAAGACUGAAUGCCAGGCUCCCAAAGUGAGAAAGUUACUCAAGUUUGCUGCAAAUCUUUGGUCUAACACUGUAAAGUGAGCAUCCUACCUACGGGGACCACUUUCAGACCUAAGGUGAACUUAGGGGCAUCUGUGGAGUGGAAGAAAAAAGUCUAUACCUGUAUUGGAGUGGGGGGAAAUGUGAUCCAAUCUACACCAGUGGAAAAUGGGGCUCACAGUUACAAAACUUCAUUAAACGCAUGGGGAUGUUGCGCCCUGAGCAAAAGAGCCGAUGAAGCCAACAUGUGUCUUUCCUGGCAAUGCCCACAGAUGACACCAGAAAGGACUCCACCAGCUUUACUCCCCCUUUGCUCAUAUUUGCACAGGAGCCCCAGCUGUCAACUGACCUCAGCUUCAGGGUAGGGGGCAGGGUGAAGAAGGAAACAGGCUUAGCAGAUAUGCAAUUGAGCCGAAGGAUAAGGUGGCCCAGAAUAACCUAGCAAGACAAAUAAAGCACUUGAUAUACAGGUGCGGUGCCAGGAGUCAAGGACCGGAGAUUGGGUCCAGUUGCGGAAACUGGGCAUCCUGCGUCUGUCUAAGAUAGCUGAGCGUUGGAAGGGCACACAGUAUGUGGUAGGGAACAACAAGGAUGACUGCCAACAUAUAAAGUCCAGCCUGGGGGCAGCCAGGAAUGGGGGGAAGCAGCUGUCAAGGUGAUAUAUGGUAAUAAUCAUCUGACAAUUAGGCAGCUGGAAGGGAGAGGUCAGGUGAAUACACUAUGAGGCCAUGGUUACUGGAUAACAAGAAAUAAGUUAUAAGUUAUGUUAAGAGAAGAAAUAUGAAUCUCUCUGCAAGAAAUAUGAAUCUCAAGAUUAGGGGAAGUGUAGUCAAGAAGGAAAUUAAGCCCUGUGGAAUCCACAGGCUAGAGUGGAAGGCUUCCCCCCAACACAUGAAAGUUCACUCAACCCCACCAUUCACACAGCCAAAAGACAAUGAGUUGGCAUACCAUUUGGAGGGGCAAGUGGCAGAACCAAGGAUAGGGUAAAAUCUCAUUUAAAUAUUUCAUGUAUCAUGGGGGAAGCAAACAUUUGCAUAUGUACACAUUUGUAAGAAUAUAGAGAAAGAUAUGAAAGGAUGCACACCAAACUUCUAACAUUGGCAACUUUAGGUGGUGUCAUUGGUGAUGGGGGUGGAUAAAGUGGUCUCUAUUUUUCUUUACACACCUCUAUAUCACUUGACUCGCUCAACUAUCAUGUGAAGACAAAAAAUGUUUUUAAUUAAAUCUGAGAGACUUGAGCUUACCCCUCCCCUCUGCAGAUUCAGCAGGAAUUGGGCAGGGGAGGAAAGUUGUUGACAUUCAACAGACACCGGAGGCAGCAGAGACAUGGGACAUGAUCACUUCUGUGGGGAAGGGUGGGGCAUGUUCCCAGAAAAGGGGAGGUAGGGACGUGGGGCGAGAAAAGGGUAAAAAGGAGAAGACUUAAGGAGAGGAUGAAGAAAGGGGGAAAAUCAGUGAAGGAUGGCCAGCGUCUGGGGGCCUGGAAAGCUUCUGCAUGUGAUGACCCCAAGGACAAGGUAGCGAAGUCUUGUACCUCUCUAAAGGAAUGAGGUAGCUAGGCUAGGGGCACAAUGUCUACACUCACCCUCGACUUGAUAGGGCUUUGGAUCAAUCACCUGAGCUCUGAGAACUGCUUAAACCUUCAGGGUUUGAGGUCUAUGGUGUAUUUUAGAGAAAGACAAAUAUGGCUGCAGAACCGGGAGCCAAAGAGGGAAAUAGCUGUUUACUCCCUCCAUGGAUAUCAACAGCACCUCCACUGUGGACCAUGGGGUAGCAAGGAGUUCCUACCUGCAAACGACGGUGGGCGACAGGGUUUCAAGGAUUAUCCACCUGUGGAUGGCGAUCCAGCUGGAGAGACAGUAAGGUCCAUUUCCCCUACUCCCCCAACCAGUACUAGCUAGAGACUCACCUUGAGGGCCAGAAAACAGAAGGAACCACCACCCAUAUGCAGCUGCAUCCUGAAGGAGACCAGAUCCUUAAAGGUCUUCUGCAUC
rnacentral:lncRNA from 1 species